rnacentral:lncRNA from 1 species
UUCUGCAUGGUGCCCAUUCGUAGUAUUUUGGGAGACAAAGGAGCUGUAGAUUGCUUUUGUGUGCCCAAUCAAACAAGCCAAAGGCAGGUUCCCAUUUUCAUACUUGGACGUGCAUGGCGCGAUCUGUCUUUUGACUGGGUCAUGUCGAAAAGCAAUAAGUCCAUAAAUAGGCCACCAACUCCUGAGCCCGAGGAAUCCCGCGAUCUCACACUUGAGGAGAGCGUGCAAUUGAAGGUACGGUAUAAGUUGGAUCUUCUGCUCCCUGACAAGGGUGUGCCAUGCAUGUGUAACGUCCUUCUGCCUCUUUGAAAAUUGUAUUAAAUGUUUUACGAACGACUAAAACUACCAUGGCCAUGUUGUGCGCUCUUCCCAUCAGCAACUUUCUAGAGCAACGAAGUGACGAUUCCCUGUCUAUUGUGCAGCUGGUGCAGAGUGGCGAGAAGGAAAG